rnacentral:rRNA from 1 species
CCUACGGGAGGCAGCAGUAGGGAAUCUUCCACAAUGGGCGAAAGCCUGAUGGAGCAACGCCGCGUGGGUGAAGAAGGUCUUCGGAUCGUAAAACCCUGUUGUUAGAGAAGAAAGUGCGUGAGAGUAACUGUUCACGUUUCGACGGUAUCUACCCAGAAAGCCCCGUCUAACUACGUGCCAGCAGCCGCGGUAAUACGUAGGUGGCAAGCGUUAUCCGGAUUUAUUGGGCGUAAAGGGAACGCAGGCGGUCUUUUAAGUCUGAUGUGAAAGCCUUCGGCUUAACCGGAGUAGUGCAUUGGAAACGGGGAGACUUGAGUGCAGAAGAGGAGAGUGGAACUCCAUGUGUAGCGGUGAAAUGCGUAGAUAUAUGGAGGAACACCGGUGGCGAAGGCGGCUUACUGGACCAUAACUGACGUUGAGGCUCGAAAGCGUGGGGAGCGAACAGGAUUAGAUACCCUGGUAGUC